UACGUAGGGGGCAAGCGUUGUCCGGAAUCAUUGGGCGUAAAGCGCGUGUAGGCGGCCCGAUGAGUCCGCUGUGAAAGUCCAGGGCUCAACCCUGGGAUGCCGGUGGAUACUGUCGGGCUCGAGUCCGGAAGAGGCGAGUGGAAUUCCCGGUGUAGCGGUGAAAUGCGCAGAUAUCGGGAAGAACACCCGUGGCUAAGGCGGCUCUCUAGUACGGUACUGACGCUGAGACGCGAAAGCGUGGGGAGCGAACAGG
rnacentral:rRNA from 1 species